rnacentral:rRNA from 1 species
UACGUAGGGGGCAAGCGUUGUCCGGAUUUAUUGGGCGUAAAGAGCGUGUAGGCGGCCAGGUAGGUCUGGUGUGAAAACUCGAGGCUCAACCUCGAGAGGUCAUCGGAAACCAUUUGGCUAGAGUCCGGAAGAGGAGAGUGGAAUUCCCGGUGUAGCGGUGAAUGCGCAGAUAUCGGGAAGAACACCCGUGGCGAAGGCGGUUCUCUGGGACGGUACUGACGCUGAGACGCGAAAGCGUGGGGAGCGAACAGG